GUAGGUGUAGUUUAAAACUAAGACGCUAGAUUGUGAUUCUAGAAACGAGAGUUAAAAUCUCUUCAUCCACC
rfam:Oryzias latipes mitochondrial DNA, complete genome.